GAAGCCAUUUGCGGACACUUAAGGAUGGCGGCGGAAGUCUCUGUUUGGGACUUUUAAUCCGGGUGUCCGGGGUUCGAAUCCCCGAUGGCUCACCA
rnacentral:tRNA from 1 species